GACAGAGGGUGCAAACGUUGUUCGGAAUUACUGGGCGUAAAGCGCGUGUAGGCGGCUAAGCAAGUCGGGCGUGAAAUCCCAUGGCUCAACCAUGGAAGUGCACCCGAAACUGAGUGGCUUGAGUACUAAAGAGGGUCGCGGAAUUCCCGGUGUAGAGGUGAAAUUCGUAGAUAUCAGGAGGAACACCGGUGGCGAAGGCGGGUCUCUGGGCCGAUACUGACGCUGAGGAGCGAAAGCGUGGGGAGCGAACAGG
rnacentral:rRNA from 1 species